AUUGAACGCUGGCGGCAUGCCUAACACAUGCAAGUCGAACGGCAGCGCGGGGGCAACCCUGGCGGCGAGUGGCGGACGGGUGAGGAAUGCAUAGGAAUCUGCCCGGUUGUGGGGGAUAACGUAGGGAAACUUACGCUAAUACCGCAUACGACCUUCGGGUGAAAGUGGGGGACCUUCGGGCCUCACGCGAUCGGAUGAGCCUAUGCCCGAUUAGCUAGUUGGCGGGGUAAGAGCCCACCAAGGCGACGAUCGGUAGCUGGUCUGAGAGGAUGAUCAGCCACACUGGGACUGAGACACGGCCCAGACUCCUACGGGAGGCAGCAGUGGGGAAUAUUGGACAAAGGGCGCAAGCCUGAUCCAGCAAUGCCGCGUGUGUGAAGAAGGCCUUCGGGUUGUAAAGCACUUUUGUUCGGGAAGAAAUCCGUGUGGUUAAUACCCGUACGGGAUGACGGUACCGAAAGAAUAAGCACCGGCUAACUUCGUG
rnacentral:rRNA from 1 species